AUAGGGCUAUAUUAUUAUUAUUUUUUUACUUAACGGAAUAAGAAAUAAUCCAACCAAAAAAAAUCAAAGUGUUCGCUCAAUUCUAAGAAUGUUGCGUUAAAGAAAAAGGUUUGGGAAGCUCUGAUCUAAGCACUAAACUCCUAAACAUUGUAAAAAAAAAAAUUUACAUCCGUCAUCUAACUUUACAAUACAUUACAGAACACUAUUA